rnacentral:rRNA from 1 species
CCUACGGGAGGCUGCAGUGAGGAAUAUUGGUCAAUGGACGAGAGUCUGAACCAGCCAAGUAGCGUGAAGGAUGACUGCCCUAUGGGUUGUAAACUUCUUUUAUAUGGGAAUAAAACGUUCCACGUGUGGGAUUUUGUAUGUACCAUAUGAAUAAGGAUCGGCUAACUCCGUGCCAGCAGCCGCGGUAAUACGGAGGAUCCGAGCGUUAGCCGGAUUUAUUGGGUUUAAAGGGAGCGUAGGUGGAUGGUUAAGUCAGUUGUGAAAGUUUGCGGCUCGACCGUAAAAUUGCAGUUGAAACUGGCAGGCUUGAGUACAGUAGAGGUGGGCGGGAUUCGUGGGGUAGCGGGUAAAUGCUUAGAAAUCACGAAGAACUCCGAUUGCGAAGGCAGUUCACUGGACUGCAACUGACACUGAGGCUCGAAAGUGUGGGUAUCAAACAGGAUUAGAUACCCGAGUAGUC